AACGAACGCUGGCGGCGUGCUUAACACAUGCAAGUCGAACGCGAAAGGGACUUCGGUCCUGAGUAAAGUGGCGCACGGGUGAGUAACGCGUAGAUAACCUGUCUUCAUGUCUGGAAUAAUACGCCGAAAGGGGUACUAAUACCGGAUAUUCUUGCUUUUCAUAAGUUGUGCAAGCAAAGGUGGCCUCUGCAUAUGCUACUGCAUGAAGAGGGGUCUGCGUACCAUUAGCUAGUAGGUGGGGUAAUGGCCUACCUAGGCGACGAUGGUUAGCGGGUCUGAGAGGAUGAUCCGCCACACUGGCACUGGAACACGGGCCAGACUCCUACGGGAGGCAGCAGUGAGGAAUAUUGCGCAAUGGGGGAAACCCUGACGCAGCGACGCCGCGUGAGUGAGGAAAGGCCUUCGGGUCGUAAAGCUCUGUCAAGAGGAAAGAAGUGUACAAUGGCUAAUACCUGUUGUAUUUGACGGUACCUCUAAAGGAAGCACCGGCUAACUCCGUGCCAGCAGCUGC
rnacentral:rRNA from 1 species